UGGUUUUUGCAUGUCCAAAGUCUACUCCAGAAUCUGGAAAAUUGUUCUGGUCUGUGCUGUUGUUUCUGUUACCGAUCUGACCUCUUUGCUAAAUGUCUUCGUUUGAGCUAAAAAGUGAUUUCAAAUUGUGUUCGUGACCUUAUAAGGAUUCAUAGGAGACUUCUCAAGCUUUCUAAUGACAUAUUAUAUGCAUGAUUUGGUUGUCAUUUGCCUAGUCAAAUGAAUGUUACUGCAUCAAUGUUUGAUUCUGGAAGUUUGUAGAUCCUCAAGACUUAGUUUUUGCUAUGGCAAAUUUGAGGUCAUAAACUUAGAAAUCUUGAGUUGACGUGUUCUGGACAAUCGAUCUGCAUUUGAUAAGCUUCGAUUUGAUAUAUUAAAUGGCUCAAAUGGAAGUCAUUUGUUAGCUCAAAUCCAUCUCGAAAGUUUGUGCACUGUGCUGGAAAUCUGAUUUGAGAUACUGCUGUCAUGAUUGUUGGACAUGCUUGCUGUUUGACAAUUUUAUAUUGAAUUUUGUGCUUGGAUUCGAAGGUCUUAAGCUACAACAUAUGAUUCUUUUAGAUCUUUGGACUUGAUUUGAUUAGGGAGAUGAUGUCUUUUCUGUGGCUAGUUGUUGUUAGUCUUGAAGUGAGAUAGUAGAUGCAUCUAAUUGCCUUCAAUAUGUUGUAGAAUGCCUGCAUUACAUAUUGCUAUGCUCUAUUCCGGAUUGACUUGUUCAUUUUUUUUUUUUAGAUUUGUAGAAAUUCAUGUGUUAAGAAUCUUGAGAUGCUUCCUCAUG
rnacentral:lncRNA from 1 species